CCCUUAGAUGCUCUGGGCCGCACGCGCGCUACACUGGUCGAUGCAACGAGUUUCUUUCCUUGGCCGACAGGCCUGGGCAAUCUUUGAACAUCGAUCGUGAUCGGGAUAGAUUCUUGUAAUUUUUGAUCUUAAACGAGGAAUUCCUAGUAAACGCAAGUCACCAGCUUGCAUUGAUUACGUCCCUGCCCUUUGUACACACCGCCCGUCGCACCUACCGAUUGAAUGGUCCGGUGAAAUCUCCGGACUGGCGUGAGUCGGAGCAAUCUGACAAACGCCGGAAAGUUGAUUAAACCUUACCAUUUAGAGGAAGGUGAAGUCGUANCA
rnacentral:rRNA from 1 species